UAUAGCUUUCUUUCUUUCUUAGGUCUAUGCGUAAUGCCAGACAGGCUGACGAUUCUGAUAAUAACGGUAACACGGAACAUUUACCAAUCGAGCUCUUCUACAUGAUGAGGAAACCCCAAUCUCAGGGGUUAGAUGGCUUGUCCAAAGCGUGACCCUCAUGACCACCAGUGUCAUGUCCUGAACUCGUGACCAGCAGAGAUGGGCCGGGAGAAGGUUUCCACUGCAACAGCUCAAAGGGACUGCCGCUGUGAGGUGGUUGUGAAUGCUGUUGGGAACUGAAUUGGGAAUGUGCUGAACUGGGGACUGGCUCAAAUGUCGAAGCCACACCCCUUGAACUGCGUUCAAGGACAGAGUUGAAGUUAAAAAAAUAAAAAAUAAAAAAGCAGAAGGCAGCUGCAGAAGAGGGAAGGCGGCAUGAGGUGGUUGCGCGCGCACCAGCCAGUGGCAGCUUGCUCUGUUCUGCUCAGCUUGGAGACUCUGCUGUCCCAGUGGGUGGCUGCACUGAGGACAGGUGAGAGUCUGCACGAGUGGCCAGAGCCUGCGGGUGGUGUGCUCUGUCAUUGCUGUCAGCCAGCAGACAGCCCACCAGCCAGAAUGAAAAUUCCAUCUUCUCUCAAGCCGUUGAU
rnacentral:sRNA from 1 species